rnacentral:rRNA from 1 species
UACGUAGGGUGCGAGCGUUGUCCGGAAUUAUUGGGCGUAAAGAGCUCGUAGGCGGUGUGUCACGUCGGCCGUGAAAACCUGCAGCUUAACUGUGGGCGUGCGGUCGAUACGGGCAUCACUGGAGUUCGGCAGGGGAGACUGGAAUUCCUGGUGUAGCGGUGAAAUGCGCAGAUAUCAGGAGGAAUACCUAUGGCGAAAGCAGGUAUCUGGGCCAUCACUGACGCUGAGCUGCGAAAGCUAGGGGAGCAAACAGG